rnacentral:lncRNA from 1 species
CGCAAUAGCAGACAAAAAGUCAUGAGAGGCGCGAGGCUGCGCGAGAAAAUGUUAUUGAUGCCUCGCGAUCAAGACGACGGCUUCGUGGCCAAGAAGAGGACAGACAUAUGCUUUGUCAAACUCUCAGUUGUCUCUUUGGGUCUUUUGUGUUUCUUUUCUUUUUUCCCUCUCUCUCUCUCUCUUUUGGUGGUGUCUGCCGGUGCCCAUCUAGGGGCGCGGUGAGGCUGGCGAAUGGAUCGAUGUGCGCGUAUCACGAGUCACGGAGCCGUUCAGCCAGAUGCCCGCAAAGGGCCGGCCUUUCCCGGCGACCGUGAGGACGCCCGUUCCAUGGCGCUCCCCGCCUCUCCAGUGACCGCAGUGGCGCCAGACGUCGCCGCCAGACCACCGGCCGUUGCCCGAGCCGUCCGGCAGCAGGACCCACCGGCCACGGCCAUAAACGCGCGUUCCGUAUCCAUCAAAGAGGUCAUCCCUCCAACAGCCCUCCAUGGCCACCGUGUAUUCGAGGCACACAUUGACGCCUUGGCCUUGGCGCUGGCCGGCGCGCCAAAACCCCUCGUGCCAUUUGAGCAGGGCCGACGGCGCGGGCCACGAGCGAGUCGACUCUCUCGUCGUCUCGGCGGCCUUUUCGCACCGCGCGCCAACGGCAGACGCGGUCUCACCGGUGCGCGUGUGGACCAUGGCGCCAUAGCCAUCGGGCAGGCCGCGUGCGUCCACAUCGCCCACGUAAAACCGAUACGGUCCAUAAUCGACACGCCCCACAGCGGGUCGGCCGCGCGCGGGUCGAUCAGACGACGCGGCCAAAAGCCACGCCCAGCCUUUUCCGGCGCGGCUCCACGCUCCCAUCAAAAACACGGGCACACCGGGGCCGUGGACGGCCACAUAAGCGCGCCUGCACGAGGCCUCGUGCACCUCGCCCGUCGCGCCAUCUUGCGCAUCACCAUCAUAAUCAUCAUCGUCAUAAAAGAGCAAACAGUCC